GACCUAACUAGGGAUGGCAUUGGAUAGAGUUUGAGUCGGGUAUUGUACUACCCAUCCCCAAAUCCAAACUUAAUACCCUAUACCCAAAUUCUAUCCGAUAUCCGAUCGGAUAAGAAAAGAGAUACCCAUCCUCAUACCUAAUAAGUUCGAGGAUACCCACGGGUAACCCAUUUCUCCAUACCCAACCUAUACCUGCCCC
rnacentral:lncRNA from 1 species